rnacentral:rRNA from 1 species
AGCGAACGCUGGCGGCAGGCCUAACACAUGCAAGUCGAACGGACCCUUCGGGGUUAGUGGCGGACGGGUGAGUAACACGUGGGAACGUGCCUUUAGGUUCGGAAUAGCUCCUGGAAACGGGUGGUAAUGCCGAAUGUGCCCUUCGGGGGAAAGAUUUGUCGCCUUUAGAGCGGCCCGCGUCUGAUUAGCUAGUUGGUGAGGUAAUGGCUCACCAAGGCGACGAUCAGUAGCUGGUCUGAGAGGAUGACCAGCCACAUUGGGACUGAGACACGGCCCAAACUCCUACGGGAGGCAGCAGUGGGGAAUCUUGCGCAAUGGGCGAAAGCCUGACGCAGCGACGCCGCGUGGAGGAAGACGGCCUUCGGGUUGUAAACUCCUGUCAGAGGUGAAGAAUGCCCGCAAGGGCUUGACGGUAACCUCAGAGGAAGCCCCGGCUAACUACGUGCCAGCAGCCGCCGUAAAAC